rnacentral:rRNA from 1 species
AGAUUGAACGCUGGCGGCAUGCUUUACACAUGCAAGUCGAGCGGCAGCGCGGGGGCAACCCUGGCGGCGAGCGGCGAACGGGUGAGGAAUGCAUCGGAACGUGUCCCGUAGAGGGGGAUAGCUCGGCGAAAGCCGGAUUAAUACCGCAUAUGCUCUAUGGAGGAAAGCAGGGGACCAGUAAUGGCCUUGCGCUAUGGGAGCGGCCGAUGCCCGAUUAGCUUGUUGGUGAGGUAAAGGCUUACCAAGGCGACGAUCGGU